rnacentral:snRNA from 1 species
GGAUGUGAGGGCAAUCUAGCUGUGCCACUUAUUACCCCAUCGAUCACCAAGCUGAUGUGGCUAGCUAGGCGGUGUCCCUUUUCUCCCUCACCACUCUGUGUUGUGCCCUCCCUGAAGCUGCAUGCUUGGUGGAAGAGGACAAACCCAUCCUCUCUAGAGGAGGACCAUUUUUUGGUCAAGGGUACAUGAGUAGCUACACUCUCCUGCUAGAACUUCCAAACAAGCUCUUAAGAAAGUCGGGAAAUAAAGAACUGAAAAUUAGACAUACAAAAUAUUUAAAUAGAAAAAUUAUUGGACAUGCACUAGAAGAUACUUU